GACUCGUCACAGGAUGUUCGCCGGCUCUCCCCUUGCAUCUCGCCUGCAUGCUUACCAGGGAGGCUCGCGCUGCUCUCGCUCUAAUCGCACAUCUGCUUCUCUGAGCACACGCUCUCUGUCUCUCUCUUUCUCUCUCCCUCGUGCAAGUGCACACACACUAUCCCUCUUGCGCACAACCUGCCGGACCUGCUCUCUCCUUUGCUCUGUGUAGUCGGCAUUGCUGAGACAAGAGGGGGACAGAAGUACGAGAAGAGAGAGGUGCACUCGCCGCAAAGAUGUUUUUCUUAGUCGCUCCAACAGACAGGAAUCUACUGGCAAGAAGAAAGGCUCGGUCUUCCCCAGGAGAGAGGAGUACAAAGCCCCCAGUCUGCACACAACAGAUGCCGAAAGCUAGUCCAUCUGCCACCAGCUUGCAGUGCCACAUGGGCCAGAGAGAUUUAAUACAAGAGAGGACUUUUAUUUAUUCCUUUGCCUAUGUAUUUGUUCCCCACGUCUCUUCUUCCAGUGCUUUCUGCUGCCAAGGUCAACAGAGACAAACAGGCCCACCAGCGUCUUGAUGUGGUGGCAGAAGAACAGUGAGAGGGGAAAGAGGGAGAAAAUGGGGGAGAUGGAUAGAUAGACAUGUGUAGUGGGUACAGUGGGGAGGGGCGAUGGUGGCAGCAGCUGGUUACCAACCUCGGCAAAAGCAGCAGCAGUGGAGGAGCAGUGGAUCUGAAACGCACUCAAACUCCACACUGAUGAUAGCAAUAAAUGCUUCCCAUCUCCCAGCACUGCUAUAAUUUCCAUAGUUUAUAGGCACACAAACACACCACUACUAUUUUAAUUAAAGCUACACUGGCACUGGGGACAAAGUCAAGUGUGCCUUGAAAAGCACAUGCACUGCUGUAAGGUCAGCUACUAGGAGCCAAUCUUCAGCUAUAAUUUUAUUAACAGGUAUUAGCCUAAAUGUAUUGAA